UUCAUAUAUAGGAAUAAGGUUUGGAAAGGCUGAGAGAUCAGUUUUGCACUUGGAGAAAAUACGGUAUGUGAAGCUCAACAUGACCCAGCAAUGUCUACUUGCAGUCCAGAAAGCUAACAGUAUGCUGGGCUGCAACAAGAGGAGCAUGGGCAGCAGGUCCAGGGAGGCGAUUCUCCCCCACUCUGCUCUUGUGAGACCCCACUUGUAGUAGACUAAAAUGUCAACUGGUCUUGUUUUCCUUGCUUCUGUUUGUUUUCUGAUGGGAAGAAUGCUGCUUGCUGGUAAGCAGCGAAGGAAAUGCUACUUUCAUGCUGCUCUACCCAGUGCACUUGCUGCCUUUGCCCAGCAAGGCUACACACCCACCUCUGACCCCUUCAGAUCUUCAGCAGGUCAGCUCAGCCUCUAAGACCUUCCAGGCUAAUGUCAUCUAAUCUGUGUAUGUCCAGGCAGUCUCUGCUUCUCCCAGAUCACCCAAAGCUCAGAAGAGAUACUGUGUCUACAAUUCUUUUGCUUUUAAAUUGCAACACUCUGAUAAAAAAUGUUCAUAACCAUAGCAAGGUACUGCUGAACUAUCCUUUUACCCCCUUUUCUCUCCUUCAAGUUACAUAGUUCAAGUCCCAGAGGACAGGACAAACUAGUUCCCCGAGAAUUAAUUAGAAUUCUCCUGACCCAUAGUUUGGUUUGUUAUUUGUGUUCAGUCACGCUCAUUUCAAUGAAUAUCAAUCAGAAUAAUUUUUAAACUUUAGCAUUAAUCAUAUUUAGAUGUCUUACAAAGGUUUGGAAGUCCUUAAGUGAGAACUGCUUAUGUCAGUGUUUUCCAGGCAACAGGACUUUGCAGUCUCUGUGUAAAAAAAUCAACACAGAUAAACAAAGAACUGCGUAAGGUGAAGAGCCAGAGCCACCUUCCUCCUCACCAGAGAAUGGGAACUUCACAUCUCAAAACCUGAAGCUGAAAAUCAUCCUGGAGCAGUAAAAUCAUAGAACCACAGAAUCAUUCAGAUGUUCAGGCAGGAGUUCUAGGUAGGAGAUUGCACCUGAACACCUAAGAACGCAUUUGCUUUAAGUGUUAUAAAUCAGCCUGAGAAGGAUCAGCUUCAACUUCAGUAUUUUUCAUCUGAGAAAUCUCACAAAUCAUU